UAAUCGAUUGCGUUGGGAAAGGUUUUUCGAAGGAACGUCCAACGGUUCAUACGGAUCAUGGGUCAAAGUUGAAUUUUUGCUCUAAUGCGGGAACGUUCCUUCGUAGAAAAGUAAGUUUCCUCGCCGAUUCUCUUUGGAUUCUAUUUUUUUGCAACUUCAGAAGGAUUCAAUGCAGUCGGGAAGGGAACGAUAAGGAAAACCUUAGGGCGAUUAAUAGUGAUUCCGAAAAAGAUGUUCUGCGAAUCAUUAUUGAAGAAGAAGAAGAGGAUGAAGAUGAAGAAGAAGGAGAUACAGGGGAUGAAGUAGUAGAGGAGAUAUACUAAACCAACCGAAGACGAAAACAGUUCCGAUAGCCUGGAGGUAUUGCAAAGGAGCCGAAUUGAUUUAUAUUUGAAUUGUAAUUCCAAAAAAGAUAAAAAAAUUUCAACAACGCUCCACCAGAUAAUAUAACAUUGCACAUCCAAAGUGAAAAGCAAUCACAUUGAUUCUAUCUAUUCUUACGUACAUACGACGAUACGAUUGUACAACAUGGAUAGUACAAAUGCCAGAAAAACAAUAAGAUUACUAUAUGAACACAUUUUCCUUUUUAAAAUUGCUUAUAAAUGGAAAAACAAUCAACGCUGUGUUUAUUUAAUGAUAAGAUAUUUUAGAGAUAUGAUAAAUUUUUUAUUCUAAAAUGUAAUGUCGAAUAUAAAGUCUAUAACAUAUUUAUUUAUUUUAUAAUAAUUUAUUGAAUAUUUUCGUAGAUUAUAUGCAGUCGAAGAAAGUAUUAUUAUUUAUAAGUGAAUUUAUCUCAUAUAUUCUAAAUGGUACGAAUCCCAAAUGGGAGUAAUUAUCCGAUAAGUACUAUAAUAUGGAAAUGAAAUCUUUUAAUAAAUCUUAUACAAAUAUAA